UCCCGCUUCCUCUUCCAGCGCCAGCCCGGCCGCGGCCCCUCCAUCCCCCGCGGGGCGGGGCCGGCGACGGGGAGGGGCUACCGGGCUACCUGGGCCUUCCGAGCCCUGCACCGCUCCGGCCGUGCCGGGGACGUGCCGGGAGGACCCUGGCCUCCGGCGCAGCGAGGGGAAGGUGUACCUUGGUUCUCGCUGACGAUACAAUCAAAGGUGGGCUCACAGUAGAGCAAGCUCUCACAAACGCCACCGCCAGACUGUCGAGUUUUUAUUUAAUUUUGUAAAUUCAAUGUCAUUGAUUAGGGCUCUUACGGCAAAGCUUGCUGUGAGGUAUGUUGUGCCUUCAAAUACACAAUGAUAGGCACGAAACAGGUUCGGGUGUAGCUGAGGUGGUGUAGGAAUUUACCACGUUUCAGUGCUUGUCUUCUCACAGGCUAACAGAUGUUCACCCCUUGUCAUAACUAGCUACUUCUUAACCUACUCUCAUCAAAAUGUUUUUAAUGCUUCUAGUAGGUUUCCCUUGAGUCUUACAAUUUUUACAGAAGCUAAUUUAAGAAGCAGUUCGAUUAAUAAGAUAACGCCUGAAACAAAACGGAAGACCUACCAGUUGAAUGCAACAAUCACAGAAACGAGGUGUUGUUGACUUAAUAGUUACAAAGUCAAUAUAAUGAUUUUUUUUUUUUUGGAAGAUUGUAGUUUUUUCUUAGAAAUGGCUCUUUGAGGUAAGGGUAUGAUUAAUGUACUAGACCUAUGAAUUACAGUCUUACUUUCACAGAACAAGAAUUAUUAAAGCAUGUGAUGUGCAGAUGUGUUUGCAAUACACAAAUAAAGGAAAAUGCUUCAAAAAUGU